UACAGAGGGUGCGAGCGUUAAUCGGAAUUACUGGGCGUAAAGCGUGCGUAGACGGUUAUUUAAGUCGGAUGUGAAAGCCCCGGGCUCAACCUGGGAAUUGCAUUCGAGACUGAAUAGCUAGGGUACGGUAGAGGGAAGUGGAAUUUCCGGUGUAGCGGUGAAAUGCGUAGAUAUCGGAAGGAACAUCAGUGGCGAAGGCGGCUCUCUGGGACGGUACUGACGCUGAGACGCGAAAGCGUGGGGAGCGAACAGG
rnacentral:rRNA from 1 species